rnacentral:lncRNA from 1 species
AUGAUAUGAGCGGACAAUAUUAAAAUAACAUUUUUAAAUGAAAAUAAACGGACAUGCAGUUUCAGAGUUGUCGGGUUCCAGAGGAACGUUGGAGGUUGGUUCGCUUGACUCUGAGAUGGCACGAUCGAAUGUUACGAAACUUAAGUUGGAGGGUGGUUCGUUCAACUCGAUGGCAGAAGAGAGGCUAGAGGCCGAAUUGACCAACAUUGACUUAUACAUAGAGUCAAAUGACUCAUCAUCGUAGUAUGUUUCGCUCGACUCUGAGAUGGCAGAAGACGGGCCCAAUGACAUAUUUGGUAGUAAGGGCCUUCUCCUCAUCAAUAUAUAAAACUCAACAAGAUGAAAAACAACAACUACACAGGGAACUGUCCAUCUCAUCCAUAGUUUCGAUCCAUAUAAUCCCACAAACCAUCCUACAGCUAAAAGAAAUAAUUGAAAUGAGUAGCUUCUUUUCCACGAUUUCAUAUCAAUUAAAUACCUCCGAUCCGAUGAUGAACGUACUCCAGCCGUUUCUU